CGGAACGGGUGAGUAACACGUGAGUAACCUCGCCCCCUUCCUUCUGGAUAACCGCAUGAAAGUGUGGCUAAUACGGGAUAUUCUGCGCCUGCUGCAUGGUGGGUGUGGGAAAGAUAUUGUUUCGGUGGGGGAUGGGCUCGCGGCCUAUCAGCUUGUUGGUGGGGUGAUGGCCUACCAAGGCGGUGACGGGUAGUCGGCCUGAGGGGGUGGACGGUCACACUGGGACUGAGACACGGCCCAG
rnacentral:rRNA from 1 species